rnacentral:rRNA from 1 species
CCUACGGGAGGCAGCAGUGAGGAAUAUUGGACAAUGGGCGCAAGCCUGAACCAGCCAAGUAGCGUGAAGGAUGAAUGCCCUACGGGUUGUAAACUUCUUUGAUAAAGGGAUAAAGUGAGGCGCGUGUGCCUUUUGGUAUGUACUUUACGAAUAAAGAUAGGCUAACUCCGUUCCAGCAGCCGCGGUAAUACGGAGGAUCCGAGCGAUAUCCGGAUUUAUUGGGUUGAAAGGGAGCGUAGAGGGUUUGUUAAGUCAGUUGUGAAAGUUUGCGGCUCAACCGGAAAAUUGCAAUUGAUACUGGCAGCCUUGAGUACAGUUGAGGGAGGCGGAAUUCGUGGUGUAGCGGUGAAAUGCUUAGAGAUCACGAAGAACUCCGAUGGCGAAGGCAGCUUACUAAACUGCCACUGACGUUGAUGCGCGAAAGUGUGGGUAGCAAACAGGAUUAGAUACCCCGGUAGUC